CGCGUAGGCGGUCUUUUAUGUCAGGUGUGAAAGCCCGGGGCUCAACCCCGGAAGUGCACUUGAAACUGAAAGACUUGAGUAUGGGAGAGGGAAGUGGAAUUCCUGGUGUAGCGGUGAAAUGCGUAGAUAUCAGGAGGAACACCGGUGGCGAAGGCGACUUCCUGGACCAAUACUGACGCUGAGGCGCGAAGGCGUGGGGAGCAAACA
rnacentral:rRNA from 1 species